rnacentral:rRNA from 1 species
AGAGUUUGAUCCUGGCUCAGAACGAACGCUGGCGGCAUGGAUUAGGCAUGCAAGUCGAACGAUCCAAUACUUCGCAAGAGGUGUUGGGGAGUGGCGCAAGGGUGAGGAACACGUGAGUAAGCUGCCCUUUAGUUGGGAAUAACCCCGCGAAAGCGGAGCUAAUACCGAAUGUGUCCAACACAUCGCAUGGAGUGUUGGAUAAAGGUUUACUGCUAAAGGAUGUGCUCGCGUCCCAUAAGCUAGUUGGUGAGGUAAUGGCCCACCAAGGCUAUGACGGGUAGGUGGUCUGAGAGGAUGGUCACCCACACUGGGACUGAGAACUGCCCAGACUCCUACGGGAGGCUGCAGUCGAGAAUCUUCCGCAAUGGGCGAAAGCCUGACGGAGCAAUGCCGCGUGCAGGAUGAAGGCCCUCGGGUCGUAAACUGCUGUCACCGGGGAUGAAUAAUGACAGUACCCGGGGAGGAAGUCACGGCUAACUACGUGCCAGCAGCCGCGGUAAUACGUAGGUGACAAGCGUUGUUCGGAUUUAUUGGGCGUAAAGGGUUCGUAGGAUGUUGAUUAAGAUUGGUGUGAAAUCCCAAGGCUCAACCUUGGAACUGCAUUGAUUACUGAUGAACUAGAGUGUCGUAGAGGAAAGCGGAAUUCCAGGUGUAGCGGUGGAAUGCGUAGAUAUCUGGAAGAACACCGACAGCGAAGGCAGCUUUCUGGGCGAUAACUGACUCUGAGGAACGAAAGCAUGGGGAGCAAACAGGAUUAGAUACCCUGGUAGUCCAUGCCGUAAACGUUGUGUGCUUGGUCUGAGCGGAUUCAACCCUGUUCGGAUCGGAGUUAACAUGUUAAGCACACCGCCUGGGGACUACGGUCGCAAGACUAAAACUCAAAGGAAUUGACGGGGGCCCGCACAAGCGGUGGAGUAUGUGGCUUAAUUCGAGGCAACGCGAAGAACCUUACCUGGGUUUGACAUCUAGCGCCUUUGACAACUCUUGGAAACAAGAGCUCUGGAUUCCGCAAGGAAGGUGCUGGACAGGUGCUGCAUGGCUGUCGUCAGCUCGUGUCGUGAGAUGUUCGGUUAAGUCCGGCAACGAGCGCAACCCAUAUUAUUAGUUGCUGCCAGGUAAUGCUGGGCACUCUAAUGAGACUGCCUGUGUUAUGCAGGAGGAAGGUGUGGAUGAUGUCAAGUCCGUAUGGCCUUUAUACCCAGGGCUGCACACGUACUACAAUGGUCGGUACAAUGGGAAGCAAUAUCGCGAGAUGGAGCAAAUCCCCAAAGCCGGCCUCAGUUCAGAUUGCAGUCUGCAACUCGACUGCAUGAAGAUGGAAUCGCUAGUAAAGGCGUAUCAGCAACGGCGCCUUGAAUACGUUCCCGGGCCUUGUACACACCGCCCGUCGCAUCAUGGGAGCUGAUUGCACCCGAAGCUACUGUAUCAACUGUCAAAGGAGAAAGGUAUCUAAGGUGUGGUUAGUGACUGGGAUGAAGUCGUAACAAGGUA